rnacentral:rRNA from 1 species
UACGGAGGGUGCGAGCGUUGUCCGGAAUCACUGGGCGUAAAGGGCGCGUAGGCGGCUCGAUAAGGCUGUGGUGAAAGCCCGGGGCUCAACCCCGGGUCGGCCGUGGCGACUGUUGGGCUGGAGCACUGUAGAGGCGGGCGGAAUUCCGGGUGUAGCGGUGGAAUGCGUAGAGAUCCGGAAGAACACCGAUGGCGAAGGCACUUUACUGGGCUAUUACUAACACUCAGAGACGAAGCUAGGGUAGCAAAUGGG